GUGGGAUCAGUUUUUUUUUUUUUGCUGCACAGUCGCUAUCUAGCCCUGCAGAACUUUACGUUUAUUUAUGUUUUGUCGGUGGUUCAUUAUUAAAUUAUCAUGAACACUAUCCACGCUGAGCUUUGGUCUCACUCAUUCAACGACGGACGUAACACCAUUCUUGAACAUUGGGUCGAAAGUCAUGCAUCCUCCGAUACACAACCCAACCAAGCCGCACUGCUUCUUAGCACAGCCCGCAUCCAACCCGGAAGCCAGCCGCACCGUGUCGGAGGAAACACCGUGCACCUGGCAACCUUGGUUAGCGUGGACUGCACCUGGCCCGCCACAGGAGUCGCUGGUGCGCGAUGAGACUCAGAGGACCAUUAUUAGCAUGUUUUAACCACUCAUAUAUAAACGGUAGAUUAUCGAACACACUUUUUGUUGUGUGUCCGAUAAUCUACCGUUUAUAUAUGAGUGGUUAAAACAUGCUAAUAAUGGUCCUCUGAGUAUAUAAAAAAAUAAAGUUUGGUAUACUUCCACUGGUAUGCCAUCCAGCCCUGGAGUUUUCCCGGACGUAAAGGCUUUAAUUGCAUCUAGAGGUUCCUCUGUAAUUUGGCCUCCACAUGAGGCUUCCUGUACAGAUGUUAAUUUUACAUUAUUAAUAGGAAAAAAUCCAUACAAUUAGCUUAGGUUAGUGGAGAUGGAGGAGACUGAAAAUAAAACGUAUUCUUAAAGUGCUUUACUUCCUCUUUCAAAAUAUUGUUUGGUGAAUCAUGAGUGACUUCAUUUGUAACAAGUUUCAGUAAAAAAAAUGUUGGUAGCAUUUCAAUGUUGAAGAUUGAAAAAUAAUUUGAUGCAUUUUUCCCCAUAUUCCAUCCAGUUCGUUUUUAUUUUUAUAGUAUAUUACACUGGAUCUUUCUUGAAUAAGUUCCUCCAUUUCGUUUAGUUUUUCCUCUAACUUACUCUGAGCCUCUAUGGUACAUUUUUUUUUAUUGCUAUCUAUAUGUACUGUUACUCCUUCAAUUUCCUUUGUUAAUAUGGACUCUUUUGACCUAAAUUGCUUUUGUUUUAUAGAUGCACCAGAACCUUAAUUUAAAAGGCUUCAUUUAAAAAGCUUUCAGAUGCACUGCCUGCGAUGGAACGGAAUUAAAUUAUGUAAAAAGUGAGUUGUGGUUGAAGGAUGGGAAUAAACAAGGUGCACUAAUGUUUAAUUCAUACGGGUACCAAAUCUCCUGCAUUAAACAUGGUUUUCUACAGAGUACGUAAUCUAUUCAGCAUUUUAUUGUUUUGCCUUUAAGACAUAGUUUCAUUGUGGCAGCAAUUAUUGUAAUUGCAAUUACAUCAUGUUUUUAUGAUUUAAUUUUGGUAUUUCCUCAAGCAGUAAACUAGCAAAGUUAAUCAUUUAAAACCAUAUAAUGUAGUUCUUACUUUUCCAUAUGAAAUGUACUUUGUUGAAAACUAACAUUAUGCAUAUAAAAUUGAGUGAUGUUGAAUAAUAUUGCUGAAUAUGGAUUUUAUAAAUCAUUAUUAAUCUAAA
ensembl:lncRNA